GGGGGAGCCUGGCUGCACCUCUCCUAGACCCCAUUUAAGGACUGACUGCCACUGAGGAGGGAUCUCUUUCUGGAGAUUCCUCCUUUUGGAGUUUUCUACUGUGAGCCUAUGAUACAGGAGCAAAGUAACCAUCUCCAACAUCCCCAGGGAAGAUCUACAUAAGAGAUGAGACAUUUUCUAGAUGUGUCCAUUUGCUGCGCCACCUGAUUUCAGAAUUAUAUCAGCUUGUGAGCCUCCGAACAGAAACUUGGCAGAGAAGAUGGUGUUUUUCAGCAGCCAGAAAUAUUUGUUUCCCCUUACACAAUUUUCCCAGGUGGACUGAAUCCACCAUUACACCCUAUUUUCUACACUCCAAGAGGCCCAGGACAGUACUGAGAAAACUCACAUGUAUGCAAUGGGGUCACACAAUAGCUAGGGGAGCUCUGGGUGUAGACUGAAGGAAGAGAUGAGCAGAAACUGCACUACAGCUUUUCUGAGGCACUUCAGCAGCAAUCCUUCAUGAAAGUAUAAACUGUUUUGAGCUGUGGCUUUCUGGUUGUGGAUCUAGCUUUUUUUUUUUUUUAAUUAUUAUUUUAUUAUUUUUGUGCAAGGGAAAUAUCUUUGUGUGCUAAGCAAGCAUUGAAAAAAAUAUUAGGUGCGAUUCUUAUGACAGGUAGCUGUAAUUCUUUUUUUUCUGUAAACACGUUCCAGUAAUGUUCACAAAUGCUCCUAACUCACGCUUGGAUAUGUAUGAAAAUUAAUAUAAAAUACUGCUAUGAUUGGAAAUAAGAAAGUCACCUGCUGGCUGCUUUUGCAUAUCUGUGGGGGAACCCGAUCUGGUGCCUGGUUUAGUGGUUUGGCAACCCUGCCCAUGGCAGGGGGUUGGAACUCAAUGAUCUUUGAGUUCCCUUCCAGCCUAAGCUAUUCUAUGGUUCGUAUGGGAGAGGCCAGUGCUGACCUAGUGUCAAGACCAGCACCUGUGCACACUGUAGGCAUGGUCAUGGUGGGUAAACACUAAGCUCUUAUCCUUGCUAUCCAUGUUCUGUGGAUAAAUGAGAGAUUUCUCACUCAACAGUCAUCAAACCACAGGUAUUAUAGACAUUUAACUUACAGUACAAAACUUCUUGUGAUUUUUGCAUUGCUUCUCUGUGGGGUAUGCUUGGGCUUAAUUAAUACACCAGAGGAUGGUUUGUUCUUCAGAAAAUAUGAGUCUGUUAGCAUCUCUAAGAGCUCUGACAUUGUGGAGAUGUGAGUCACAUCAGUGAAAGCUGCCUGAGGCUACAUUUAACCUUGUGCACUCAAGCUGAAAAAUAAUUAAUAAAAUAUUCCCAAGUGUUAUGUUUU